rnacentral:misc_RNA from 1 species
AAGUCGUAACAAGGUUUCCGUAGGUGAACCUGCGGAAGGAUCAUUACCGAGAGAGGGGGACUUCGCGUCCCCCCGAGGGGCUCGCCCCCACCUCUUCCACCCUGUGUCUGUCCAUCCCUCUGUUGCUUCGGCGAGCGCCGCGGGUAACCCCUUCGGCCCUGGCUUUGGCCAGUGAGCUCUCGUCAGAGGCCCAUUACCAAUCAGUCUUAGUGGCGUCCGAAUUUAUAUGAAACGAAAUCUUAAAAACUUUCAACAACGGAUCUCUUGGUUCCG